CCCUAGCCCAGAUAGAAAUGAAAAUCCUUUUAUGAGGUUUUUUCCCGAAUAAAAGAUUGUAAUGAAUAGCUGGAAAUAGC
rnacentral:sRNA from 1 species